UACUCAAGUGCAGUUUUUAAUUACAUAUUAUUUAUAAUAAAUAAAAAUAAAUACUAAAUAGAAUAAUAAAAUACCAACAAUCAUAAUUGUUAGAAAUAAGCUUUUAAAACCAAAUGCAUUAGUUCCAUUCAUAAAAUUAAUAGUUCUUACAAUAUAUUAUAGUAAUAUAAAUUUCUAAGAAUAUAAUAUAAUUGUAAAAUAAAAAUGACCAGGAGAAUAUAUUAGAGCUAAAUAUAGUGUCAGUAAAUAUUUAAUAGAAUAUUGAAAAAUAUAAUAAUUACCAUACAUGUUGUAUCCGAUAUUUACCUAAUUAUAAUUAAAUAUUCUUAAUUGUCAUAUAGUGUGCUCUACUCCUUAUAAGUUAUAAACAAUACACAUUUUAUGUAACACAAAUUUCUUACUAUGCCUGUAUAAUAUAAUUUUACACUUCAUGGUUAAUUUCACUGAAUAUAAGUAUAAUAAUAUAUUCCUAUUUUCUAAUUUAUUCAAUACUCAAAUACAUCUUCUUAUGUGUUUCUUUAAAUACUACUAAAUUUGUUAAUUGUAUAUAAGUUUAAAUAUGUUAUAUUCAGAUAAUUUUAAUAGUAUUAACAACAUUAAUGUUAUAAAUUUAUAAAAUUUAAGUUCAGAUACUAGCUGUUUAUGAUAAGUUCUUACAGUAAUUAUUACUUUUAAUCUGUUAAAAGUUAUUAUAAAUAUAUACUUAAUGGCUAAUAGAAUAGUUUGAAUAAAUACUGAGAAAAUAAAAAAUAAUGAUAGUAGCAGUUUAUGUUAAUAGUUUUAAACAUAAUUAUAUAAUUAAUUUAUUGUUUAUUUCUAAUUUCUAAUUAUUUUCUAGUGUAUUUAAAAUAUUUGUAUCCAACAUUUUAUAUAGCAUUGCAAGUAUAAAAUAUUAUUAUUCAAAUUAUAUACCAAAUAAUAAUACAGUACGUUUGAAAAUUUUUUUUUUAUAUUUAUAAGCAACAUGUAAUAUUAAGGGCCAGUUGUAUCAUCUCCAAUGAAAGUUAACCGGAGUUCAAUUAUCCGAAUUUUCCCGGUUAAAUAAUCUGUUAUCAGUUGAUUAAACGUAAUCAAAGUUUAACCGUAGAUGGUAUAACUGCCCCUUAGUUUAAAUAAAGCUGUUGUAUAUAAUAAACAGAACAUUUUUAAAAUAAUUUUUCACUUGUACAUAUAGAUAUUAGCGACUUAUGGACAUUUACUCCUAUUUGAAACUAUUCAAAUUAGUUUUAUUUGCUUUCUUACGAUUACAUUGAAUUGUUUACACAUUUUAAUUUUAAAACUCAAUGUUUUUUAAAAACAAAUGUUUACUUAUUUGAUGUAAAAAAUUUGUCAGCUAUUAUUUCUAAAGAUGUCAAUAGAACAUUUAGACAAUUUUGUUUAUUAUAUAUGCUUAUACCAUUUAAUAAGUUCAUUUAUGAUAAAAAUUUUUUAAUUUUAAAUAAAUUAUAGGUUUGGUAAAAGUACCUAUGUUAUUUAUUUUUAAGAGUUUGUAUGUAUCAUUGAUAUUUGAAUCAAGCAAUUGAUUUUUGUGUUGAUGUAUUGUUUUAUAUUGUGUUCUAUGAGUUCAACUUAUUUUUGGAAUGUUACUGGAGUGAGUCUAUAAGGGAUUUGUUUUUUUUCAAUGAUGUUAUAAACUACAAUCAAGAGUGACUACGGGGUGAUUUGAAAAAAAAAAAUUAUGGCAUAAUAUGGUAAGCCGCAUAAUAUAUUAUAAAUAACAUACGGGUAUACAGUUUAAAAAAUAUCAAUGAAGCAAUGACUAAAUACAUUAUGUGUAUGAAAAUACCACGUAAUAUUUGAUUAAUAAACUUUUUGUGAUUUUUUUUUAAGAAAUAAAUUUGUUAUGCAUUA
rnacentral:lncRNA from 1 species